GCAGAGUUCGUUGGCCAGCAAAAAGAAGCGAAGACUUUGUUCCUUCUCAAUUCGAAGAAUGGCUUUCUCAAUAAAUUUAUACAGAAUUAUCUCAUUGCUUGCAUAGCUUACAAUUUGAGAGCAUUAGACCAAUAUUAAAUUGAAGGCUGGAACCGGAUGAAUAGGCUUGCUCCUUACAGAUAAGCACAUUGCAACUAUGGGUGGUUCUACAGGAAGCCUCAGUGCCUGUAUGGGAAGUGUUUGGGCCAGCAAUAAACUGGAAGAUUUUUGCACUUGCUUUGAGCGAAGGAAGCUGGCUUACUCCUUUAUCGUAUACAACACAAGACAAGGACUUUUUGUAAUACUGAUGAAGUGUAAUACGAAACGCGUUUAUUGUAACUAGUUACUUGCAUGUUGUACCACUUAAAAAUCACUAUGGGUUCUGUUGCAAUUGGUUUGAAUGUCUUUUAUGGUUGCUAUUGUGGAUUUUUGUAUCUAAGACAUUUGUCAAUCUAUAAGCAGUUUUAUAUUUUAAAAGUAUGUAUAUCAAUAAGUAAUUAUAUUAAAAAGUAUGGCAGCCUAUUUA